CCCCCACCAGGCCAGCAGCAGCUGUCACCCUUCUUCAGUCAUCUGUUCCUCAGACACUUUUGUGGAUAGGGCCCAAGUAACUUGAUUAAGUUUCUAUACCAGCAUUUCUAACCUUGACACUAUGGAAUUUCAAGCCAGACAAUUCUUUGUUGUGGGAGGCCAUUCUGAGCAUUGUAGACUUCCUAGUCUGUACCGCCGAAUGCUAGCGGCAGCCUUUCUUCUCCAAGCUGCGACAAUCAAAAAUGUCUGCAGACAUUGCCAAAUGGCCCCUGGGAGGCAAAGCUACCCUUUGGUUGACAGCUGCUGAUCUAUACAACAGUGCGGCUGUCACCCACUGCUCAGGUCCAGGAGGGCAGCUCUCCCAGGGAGGCCAAGGGUCUGGGAAGGUGAGUACACACAGAAGUCGGAAGUAAAGAGCCACCAGCAAAGGUGACCCACCUGGACACCUUCACCACAGCAGCACUGGGCUCUCCCGCGCUGUGCUGUGAUGCUGCAACCCAGGCCUCAUGUGUCUCCCUGGGCCUGCCUCAAUGCGGGCUGCCUGUGGCCUGUCCCCUUGCCUUCUCCAGAUAAAAAGUCAUUCUGUUCCUGGA